CAGCCGCCGCGGGAAAACGGAGGGUGCAAGCGUUAAUCGGAAUUACUGGGCGUAAAGCGCACGCAGGCGGUUUGUUAAGUCAGAUGUGAAAUCCCCGAGCUUAACUUGGGAACUGCAUUUGAAACUGGCAAGCUAGAGUCUUGUAGAGGGGGGUAGAAUUCCAGGUGUAGCGGUGAAAUGCGUAGAGAUCUGGAGGAAUACCGGUGGCGAAGGCGGCCCCCUGGACAAAGACUGACGCUCAGGUGCGAAAGCGUGGGGAGCAAACAGGAUUAGAUACCCGAGUAGUCCCUGUCUCUUAUAC
rnacentral:rRNA from 1 species